GACGAACGCUGGCGGCGCGCUUAACACAUGCAAGUCGAACGGAAAGGCCCUGCUUUUGUGGGGUGCUCGAGUGGCGAACGGGUGAGUAACACGUGAGUAACCUGCCCUUGACUUUGGGAUAACUUCAGGAAACUGGGGCUAAUACCGGAUAGGAGCUCCUGCUGCAUGGUGGGGGUUGGAAAGUUUCGGCGGUUGGGGAUGGACUCGCGGCUUAUCAGCUUGUUGGUGGGGUAGUGGCUUACCAAGGCUUUGACGGGUAGCCGGCCUGAGAGGGUGACCGGCCACAUUGGGACUGAGAUACGGCUCAGACUCCUACGGGAGGCAGCAGUGGGGAAUAUUGCACAAUGGGCGGAAGCCUGAUGCAGCAACGCCGCGUGCGGGAUGACGGCCUUCGGGUUGUAAACCGCUUUCGCCUGUGACGAAGCGUGAGUGACGGUAAUGGGUAAAGAAGCACCGGCUAACUACGUG
rnacentral:rRNA from 1 species